UACGGAGGAUGCGAGCGUUAUCCGGAUUUAUUGGGUUUAAAGGGUGCGUAGGCGGACGCUUAAGUCAGCGGUAAAAUUGCGGGGCUCAACCUCGUCGAGCCGUUGAGACUGGGUGCCUUGAGUGGGCGAGAAGUACGCGGAAUGCGUGGUGUAGCGGUGAAAUGCAUAGAUAUCACGCAGAACCCCGAUUGCGAAGGCAGCCUUCCGGCGCCCUACUGACGCUGAGGCACGAAAGUGCGGGGAUCGAACAGG
rnacentral:rRNA from 1 species